rnacentral:rRNA from 1 species
GUGAGGAAUAUUGGUCAAUGGGCGAAAGCCUGAACCAGCCAUGUCGCGUGAAGGAUGAAGGUCCUAUGGAUUGUAAACUUCUUUUGCAGGAGGGUAAAGUGAGCUACGUGUAGUUCAUUGCAAGUACCCUGCGAAUAAGCAUCGGCUAACUCCGUGCCAGCAGCCGCGGUAAUACGGAGGAUGCGAGCGUUAUCCGGAUUUAUUGGGUUUAAAGGGUGCGUAGGCGGACUAAUUAGUCAGCGGUAAAAUUUUGCGGCUCAAACGUAAAACUGCCGUUGAAACUGUUAGUCUUGAGUGCGGUAGAGGUAGGCUGAAUGUGUGGUGUAGCGGUGAAAUGCUUAGAUAUCACACAGAACACCGAUUGCGUAGGCAGCUUACUGGAGCGCAACUGACGCUGAGGCACGAAAGCGUGGGGAUCGAACAGGAUUAGAAACCCUGGUAGUCC